UGUUGACAGGUGAGCAGUGC
rnacentral:misc_RNA from 1 species